rnacentral:rRNA from 1 species
CCUACGGGUGGCUGCAGUGAGGAAUAUUGGUCAAUGGGCGUGAGCCUGAACCAGCCAAGCCGCGUGAGGGAAGAAGGUACUGUGUAUCGUAAACCUCUUUUGUCAGGGAACAAAGGCGGGGACUAGUCCCCGGUUGAGGGUACCUGAAGAAUAAGCAUCGGCUAACUCCGUGCCAGCAGCCGCGGUAAUACGGAGGAUGCGAGCGUUAUCCGGAUUUAUGGGGUUUAAAGGGUGCUCAGGCGGCCUGUUAAGUCAGCGGUAAAAGCCCGGGGCUCAACCCCGGCGAGCCGUUGAAACUGGGGGGCUGGAGUUGGAGAGAGGUACGCGGAAUGCGCGGUGUAGCGGUGAAAUGCUUAGAUAUCGCGCAGAACCCCGAUUGCGAAGGCAGCGUACCGGCUCCAGACUGACGCUGAGGCACGAAAGCGUGGGGAUCGAACAGGAUUAGAUACCCUAGUAGUC